rnacentral:rRNA from 1 species
UGGGGAAUAUUGGACAAUGGGCGAAAGCCUGAUCCAGCCAUGCCGCGUGUGUGAAGAAGGUCGUCGGAUUGUAAAGCACUUUAAGUUGGGAGGAAGGGCAUUAACCUAAUACGUUAGUGUUUUGACGUUACCGACAGAAUAAGCACCGGCUAACUCUGGGCCAGCAGCCGCGGUAAUACAGAGGGUGCAAGCGUUAAUCGGAAUUACUGGGCGUAAAGCGCGCGUAGGUGGUUUGUUAAGUUGGAUGUGAAAGCCCCGGGCUCAACCUGGGAACUGCAUCCAAAACUGGCAAGCUAGAGUACGGUAGAGGGUGGUGGAAUUUCCUGUGUAGCGGUGAAAUGCGUAGAUAUAGGAAGGAACACCAGUGGCGAAGGCGACCACCUGGACUGAUACUGACACUGAGGUGCGAAAGCGUGGGGAGCAAACA